CAGUUUGCUGUGAGAAGACCAGAAGGGUUAACCAACGGCCUCGUGUCCCUGGACGGGUCUUGGUGCCUGCUUAGAACCCAAAGCCCUUAACUUCAUGCUCCUCGUCCUGUAUCAGGGGCAGGGCUUGGCACAAUCCCAGGAGGUGCCAGGUCUCAAUGGCCCGAGGCCAUGGGUGGGUGACAGGGAGCAGGGGCCUCAGAACCAACGUAGGGUGUCUGGGGCCCCCCCAGACCAGGGCCAGUCCUGAGGCGCACCUGCGGGAAGCCAGCACCUACCAGUCCCUCCUUUCUCCUCAGCCAUUUGGGGUGUGGAGGAAUUCCUGGGGUGGCCUUGAGAGAGAGAAAAGCCCGUGGUGUGGCUGGCCUGUGUCCCUGCGAAUAGAAAAACCAGUCCUCGAGGGUGGCCGUGCUGGCGCCCCACAGGUGGUUGCAGGUGGAGGGCCUGAGUCAGACUUGAACCUGCAGCAAUCACUGUCAUGGGCUCGGAUCUCACCCCUGCCUCUUCCCUGCUCUGACGUGGUCCUUCCUUCCUGGGCCUUCGUCUCCUCAUCUGUCAAAUGGGGAUUCAGAGGCCCGGCGGGUGAUGAGAUGAAUUUCUGUGGGGAGAACACUUCGAGCAGUGCUGCCACCGUUACCUGUGUGUAUGCUGGUAGGACAGUUGUUCCCAGGGACCACACUGAGGCCGGCCUUGGGGUGAGGUGCCCCUUGGCGUCCCCACCUUCGCAUUCCAUUCUGCAGGCCCCCCGGACAGACCACCCAGCGCUGUACAGGGACCUGCUGAGGACCAGCCGCGUGCACUGGAUCGCGGAGGAGCCUCCCGCAGUACUGGUCCGGGACAAGAUGAUGGAGUGCCACUUCCGAUUCCGCCACCAGAUGGCACUAGGUGACUGACGGGAGGGCUCCUGAGGAUGGGCCCCUUGAAGCUGAGCUUCCUGAGGCCAUAUUUGGGCCAGGGUUGGGAGACCCUGGGGUAGGAAAGUCCCAUUGUGGAGAUUAUUUGGAGAUUACCUAAAAUAUUUAGAACUCCCGUGUCCUGUGCCUGCCCUGAGCGAGACCUGGGGGUGCUGGGAGCAGAUGCAGGCAGGCCCCAGUGUGUUGGGCUGAAGCAAGUGUGUACACUGCCCCGCAGUGUCCUGCUGCGCCCAGGGCCCAGGCUGGUGCCCUGCCCUUCCCCUCUAAGCGGGGGUUCUUGACCCCGUGGGCUGGUGCUCCUUUCUCCCUGGGGGCACAAGGCCUGAGGUCGACCAGGCAAGGCCUGUGCCCCCUCCAAGGGCCCCUCUCUUCUACCCAGUGCCCUGUGUGCUGACCCUCAAUCAAGAUGGCACCGUGUGGGUGACAGCUGUGCAGGCUGUGCGUGCCCUUGCCACAGGACAGUUUGCUGUGUUCUACAAGGGGGACGAGUGCCUGGGCAGCGGGAAGAUCCUGCGGCUGGGGCCGUCUGCCUACACACUCCAGAAGGGCCAGUGCAGAGCUGAGGUGGCCACUGAGAGCCCCACUGACAGCCCAGAAGAUGGUCCAGGCCUGAGUCCCUUGCUCUGACAGAGAUGGAGCUGCUAGAAGGAACCUGGAGAGCAGGACCCAGGGCUGGGUGGCUGGUGAGCAGUCCAGGUGCCCAACGGCCAACUUGCUGCUGCCCAAAGCAGAGGAACUGGGCUGGCCGAGGGUCUGAAAAGCCUGCGGGGGCCCGGCGACCCCCAGGAAGAGCCUCACCUCCAGGCUGGGGCUCGGGCUGCUGGAGCAUCUGCUGGCUGGUGGGGUGGCCCGAGUUCCCCUUCACCGCCCCCAGGGAGAGUUUCCCACCUCAGAGCACGCAGAGGGGACCUGCAGAGGGGGCUGCCAGGACAGCGUGGAAUAAACAUUAUUUCAAGGA
rnacentral:sRNA from 1 species